CAAAUUUUCAGAUAUAUUAAUGGACAAAAAUGGUCUAAGGGAAAAACCCUGAACAUUUUCCUCUAUAUUUUCUUCAGUCAUGCCGCCUCCACACAUUUUUUACUCCUCUUCUCCACUUUCUCCCUCACCCUCACGACCCCAUUUUCGACCAUCCUUCUCCUCCACACAACCCUUUCUCCUUCACCUAGUUUCCAGCAACCACACCUCCAAACAGCUCCACCACCCACGCACAAUACAAGCUCCAACUUCAUCUCCUUCAUCCAGCCACGAUAAACCCGACCAAACACAAUCAGAUCUUCCUCCAUGAGCGUCUCCGGAAAAAUUAGCAAACUCCAACGAAACAUACUUCCAGAUCUGUUCGGAAAAGAAACUCUCUGGUAUUCAGAGUUUCCUCUCGAAGAAGCUAUUCCAAUUAAAUUAGAAUAAUAUUUUUAAUUUGUUAUUGUAUAUUAUUGACGUUAGACAACUAUUAGACUGUUUUUAAUAUUAUUAUUUUAUUUUAUUAUUUAUUUAUUUAGUUUA